rnacentral:rRNA from 1 species
UACGAAAGGAGCAGGUGUUAUUCAGAUUAACUGGGCGUAAAGGGCACGUAGGUGGUUUGUUUAUGUGUAUUAUUAAAUUGUAAAGCAUAACUUUAUAACGUAUUACAGACAACAAAACUAGAGUUAGGUAGAGGGUAGUAGAAUUUCUAAAUGUAAAGGUGAAAUUUGAUAAAAAUUAGAGAGAAUACCAAUGGCGUAAGCAAACUAUCUGGUCCUUAACUGAUACUGAGGUGCGAAGGUAUGGGGAGCGAAUAGG